rnacentral:misc_RNA from 1 species
UCCUCGUUGAAGCGAGGCAGUCUGUCUAGAGUGCCCAACUUAAUGCUGGCAACUAAACACAGGGGUUGCGCUCGUUGAGGGACUUAACCCGACAUGCCACCACACGAGCUGACGACAGCCAUGCAGCACCUGUCUCUUUGUUAUAUUGCUAUAAAAGCUGUAUCUCUACAGUUGUCAAAGGAUGUCAAACCUAGGUAAGGUUCUGCGCGUUGCUUCGAAUUAAACCACAUAAUCCACCGCUUGUGCGGGCUCCCGUCAAUUCCUUUGAGUUUUAGUCUUGCGACCGUACUUCCCAGGCGCGGUACUCAUCGCGUUAGCUCCGAGUCGGGAGGGGUCAACUCCCCCCAACUCUAGUACCGAUCGUUUACAGCGUGGACUAC